rnacentral:misc_RNA from 1 species
CAAUACCUCUCAAGCUUUCUUGCUUGGUGUGUUGGGUCUUCGUCCUUUCCCCCUCCCUGCUGCCUAAGCUGCUGGGUGGAGGGACCCUGGAUGUACCUGAAAGUCAGUGGCGGUGCCAUGAUAGCCUCAAGCGUAGCAGGCUCCCUCUCGCUUUGGAUGGCCUUGUCAUGCAGCUUGCCGGCCUUUGCAUGUUUUAUCUUCUCUAGGU